rnacentral:rRNA from 1 species
GACGAACGCUGGCGGCGUGCUUAACACAUGCAAGUCGAACGAAGUGGCGCACGGGUGAGUAAUACGUGGGUAACCUGCCCUCCUUUUUGGGUUACGCCUUGGAAACGGGGUCUAAUACCGAAUAAAGGGGGAUGGGCUCGCGGCCUAUCUGCUUGUUGGUGGGGUGAGGGCCUACCAAGGGGGGGACGGGUAUCCGGCCUGAUAGGGUGACCGGCCACAUUGGGACUGAGAGACGGCCCAGAGUCGGACGGGGGGCGGCAGUGGGGGAUAUGGCGCAAGGGGCGAAGGGCUGAUGCAGCGACGCCGCGUGGGGGAUGAAGGCUUUCGGGUUGUAAACCUCUUUCGCUAUCGAACCGGUAGGUGGAGAAGAAGCGCCGGCUAACUACGUGCCAGCAGCCGCGGUAAUUC